GCGAGUGGCGAACGGGUGAGUAAUGUAUCGGAACGUGCCUAGUAGCGGGGGAUAACUACGCGAAAGCGUAGCUAAUACCGCAUACGCCCUACGGGGGAAAGCAGGGGAUCGCAAGACCUUGCACUAUUAGAGCGGCCGAUAUCGGAUUAGCUAGUUGGUGGGGUAACGGCUCACCAAGGCGACGAUCCGUAGCUGGUUUGAGAGGACGACCAGCCACACUGGGACUGAGACACGGCCCAGACUCCUACGGGAGGCAGCAGUGGGGAAUUUUGGACAAUGGGGGAAGCCCUGAUCCAGCCAUCCCGCGUGUGCGAUGAAGGCCUUCGGGUUGUAAAGCACUUUUGGCAGGAAAGAAACGUCAUGGGCUAAUACCCCGUGAAACUGACGGUACCUGCAGAAUAAGCACCGGCUAACUACGUGCCAGCAGCCGCGGUAAUACGUAGGGUGCAAGCGUUAAUCGGAAUUACUGGGCGUAAAGCGUGCGCAGGCGGUUCGGAAAGA
rnacentral:rRNA from 1 species